GACAGUGUGGUGUAGUGGUUUGAGUGUUGGACAACGACUCUGGAGACCAGGGUUCGAUUCCCAGCUCAGCCA